GAGAGUUUGAUCCUGGCUCAGGACGAACGCUGGCGGCGUGCCUAAUACAUGCAAGUUGAGCGCUGAAGGUUGGUACUUGUACCGACUGGAUGAGCAGCGAACGGGUGAGUAACGCGUGGGGAAUCUGCCUUUGAGCGGGGGACAACAUUUGGAAACGAAUGCUAAUACCGCAUAAAAACUUUAAACACAAGUUUUAAGUUUGAAAGAUGCAAUUGCAUCACUCAAAGAUGAUCCCGCGUUGUAUUAGCUAGUUGGUGAGGUAAAGGCUCACCAAGGCGAUGAUACAUAGCCGACCUGAGAGGGUGAUCGGCCACAUUGGGACUGAGACACGGCCCAAACUCCUACGGGAGGCAGCAGUAGGGAAUCUUCGGCAAUGGACGAAAGUCUGACCGAGCAACGCCGCGUGAGUGAAGAAGGUUUUCGGAUCGUAAAACUCUGUUGGUAGAGAAGAACGUUGGUGAGAGUGGAAAGCUCAUCAAGUGACGGUAACUACCCAGAAAGGGACGGCUAACUACGUGCCAGCAGCCGCGGUAAUACGUAGGUCCCGAGCGUUGUCCGGAUUUAUUGGGCGUAAAGCGAGCGCAGGUGGUUUAUUAAGACUGGUGUAAAAGGCAGUGGCUCAACCAUUGUAUGGAUUGGAAACUGGUAGACUUGAGUGCAGGAGAGGAGAGUGGAAUUCCAUCUGUAGCGGUGAAAUGCGUAGAUAUAUGGAGGAACACCGGUGGCGAAUGCGGCUCUCUGGCCUGUAACUGACACUGAGGCUCGAAAGCGUGGGGAGCAAACAGGAUUAGAUACCCUGGUAGUCCACGCCGUAAACGAUGAGUGCUAGAUGUAGGGAGCUAUAAGUUCUCUGUAUCGCAGCUAACGCAAUAAGCACUCCGCCUGGGGAGUACGACCGCAAGGUUGAAACUCAAAGGAAUUGACGGGGGCCCGCACAAGCGGUGGAGCAUGUGGUUUAAUUCGAAGCAACGCGAAGAACCUUACGAGGUCUUGACAUACUCGUGCUAUUCCUAGAGAUAGGAAUUUCCUUCGGGACACGGGAUACAGGUGGUGCAUGGUUGUCGUCAGCUCGUGUCGUGAGAUGUUGGGUUAAGUCCCGCAACGAGCGCAACCCCUAUUGUUAGUUGCCAUCAUUAAGUUGGGCACUCUAACGAGACUGCCGGUGAUAAACCGGAGGAAGGUGGGGAUGACGUCAAAUCAUCAUGCCCCUUAUGACCUCGGCUACACACGUGCUACAAUGGAUGGUACAACGAGUCGCGAGACAGUGAUGUUUAGCUAAUCUCUUAAAACCAUUCUCAGUUCGGAUUGUAGGCUGCAACUCGCCUACAUGAAGUCGGAAUCGCUAGUAAUCGCGGAUCAGCACGCCGCGGUGAAAACGUUCCCGGGCCUUGUACACACCGCCCGUCACACCACGGGAGUUGGGAGUACCCGAAGUAGGUUGCCUAACCGCAAGGAGGGCGCUUCCUAAGGUAAGACCGAUGACUGGGGUGAAGUCGUAACAAGGUAGCCGU
rnacentral:rRNA from 1 species